rnacentral:tRNA from 1 species
UGCGCCAUAGCUCAGUGGUUAGGAGCACUGGUCUUGUAAAACCAGGGUCGUGAGUUCAAUCCUCACCAGGCUUAU